rnacentral:rRNA from 1 species
UACGUAGGGUGCAGGCGUUAAUCGGAAUUACUGGGCGUAAAGCGUGCGCAGGCGGUUUGUUAAGUCAGAUGUGAAAUCCCCGGGCUUAACCUGGGAACUGCGUUUGAAACUACAAGGCUAGAGUGUAGCAGAGGGGGGUGGAAUUCCACGUGUAGCAGUGAAAUGCGUAGAGAUGUGGAGGAACACCGAUGGCGAAGGCAGCCCCCUGGGUUAACACUGACGCUCAGGCACGAAAGCGUGGGGAGCAAACAGG